rnacentral:rRNA from 1 species
AACGGGGCAUGCGUCAGUACGGCGAGUGAAGCGGCAACAGCUCAAAUUUGAAAGCCCGCGGGCGUUGUAAUUUGCAGGCGGAUGUUUUGGGGCGGGCGCUGUCUACGUUCCUUGGAACAGGACGCCGCAGAGGGUGAGAGCCCCGUGCGAUGGCGCCUCCCAACCGCGUAAAACUCCGCCGACGAGUCGAGUUGUUUGGGAAUGCAGCUCCAAGUGGGUGGUAAAUUCCAUCUAAAGCUAAAUACUGGCGAGAGACCGAUAGCGAACAAGUACAGUGAUGGAAAGAUGAAAAGCACUUUGAAAAGAGAGUGAAACAGCACGUGAAAUUGUUGAAAGGGAAGGGUAUGCGAUUAGCGGCCAGCAGGAGGUGCCUUCUCGUGAAAAGGCCGUGCACCGUCUUCGGACACCGUGCGCGGAGAUGGCGAGGGGGCGCCUGAGGUCUGCGACUCGAGGUUGCUGGCGUAAUGAUUGCAUACCACCCGUCUGA